GCAUUCAGGACUGCUUACGUC
rnacentral:siRNA from 1 species